AUGUUCCCUCCCUUUUUCCUGCGGAGAGUCAGAGAUGGUGGCCCAAGUAGUGGGAACUAUGGAGAUAAACUUCAUGGUGAUAUCCUGGAAGUUGUGCAGAAUAAUUAAGCCCUUCAUGAAAACAUCAACAGUUCUAGAAGACUAUAUGAUGUACAGUUGUGGAUGUUCCUGAAUAUUUAAGACAGAAUGUGACUUAUUAGCAAGUAUCCAGUGGAUAAUGAAUCAAUGAAUGAAUAACUGACAGCGCAGUUGGGAUAUAAAACUACUUGCGACUCUAGUACUACUAAAACAGAGAUCUCUGAAGGCUGACUCAAUAUUAAAGUGAAAUGGUGGAAAAUAUAGGAGCAGAUGCAUUUAGUUAUUCAGUGAUGAGGUGGAAUUUUUGUAUCACCUGACAAGUGUGGAUAGUAUCACUGGAAGAAGUCUGACACCUGAAGAUACCCAGAUACCAAGAUUUUAACAACAAAAAAUGUUACCAGGUUUAUGCUUCUGAAAUAGUUUGUGGGAUUGUUUGGUAGUUAAUAUUUCUGACACUUCACAUGGCACAGAACCAGUCGGUCUCUGCUCACUGUUUUAAAAGAAGCAAUCAUGUUUUGUGGAAAUCUGAAGAUCUUUCCAAAAUUGUAGACCCAGCUCCCUCUAGCGAAACCAAAGCUGUCUUAUAAUAGGGAAACUGCAUGUGGGAUCAAAGAAGAGAAAAUUCAGUUUUGCUAGAAUCAGUCAGAUUUAACAUCUUCUGUUUUCCGAUAUGACUUCUCAGGAGAUUAUGGUGGCUGAAGGGAAAUAGAGCAUACUUUAAAAGUGUAGCAUAAUAUCUAUUUUUUUUCAGGAGAGGCUCCCCUACUCAAUAAAGAAAAUAUUAAGGGCAACAACCAAUAAGCUUGGGGGAGGGAGGUUGGAAAAACCUCCCAGUGGCUAGCCAGUUUCCUCUGAAGGAGAUAAAAGCACAACAAAGAAAUAAAGCACACAUUGAUAUUACUGGGGAAAAGUGUAUGCCCUGAACAGUAAUAAAAUGGGCAAUGGAAAACCCAGGCACCCUAUGUAGAAAGAUGGCGAGAGUACCAAUUAAUGCAGAAAAUCAUAGUAAUGAGGCUUCCCCCUUUUGAGUGCAAUUUAAUUCAGGAAGUGAAAGAGGAAGGUCAGAUGGUGGUAUUAAUCAAUGAAGGCACUGAGGAAGCAAAAAAUCAGACAUUUGUAAGAAAGCAAAAUUCACCAGUCAUCGUAGGAGUUGUGGUCACAAGAGAAAACUAGACUUAAACCACAGCCUGGGUUCUGUUUAUGCUGAUGGGGAAAGAAGUUGUUUUUUAUGCACCGCUGCCCAACUGCAUGAUAAGACCAAUGCAUUGGUGUGGAACUCUUUUCUCUUGAGCAGAAAUAUGGUAGCAAUGCUAUGUUUUGUGUGGAAGAGAGGCACACCUGGGAACUUCUGCUUUAAGAAACCUCUUGAAAAAUAACCAUGCCAUAAUGUGGGAGAAACAUCUCUGCUGCAUUCAGCAACUAAGCCCUAAUGCAGUAGGGAAAGAGAUGGAGGAGACAGGUCAUAACAUCUGAUAAAGUGGGGUCCACAAAUACUCCAGUCAGUGGCAUAACAUCCAGUAUGCCUUUUAGUGUUAGGAAGGGAAGUAGAAUGAAAAAAGAUACACAGGCAAACUACCCAGCGACUGACACAACCUACACUUAAAGACACAUCAAACUAUAAGAGAAACCAUCCUACAAUCCCCAUGCUUAAUACAAAACUGGCAAUAAUGCUAGUAGUGGGUCUGCAGCCCUUUUCAUUUGUUAGGGUAGAGGGCUUUCAGGUACUAAUGGAAUUCCCAAGUGGCAAAUACCUAGCAAAACCUACUUUUUUGUCUAAGGUAAUACCAUAGUUGUACAAAACUCAUAUUGCCGUGUCCAAGGCAUUGAGGAUGUCAAAGGUGAGGAAGAUCCAUCUGACCACUGAAAUGUGGACUAGUGGUCAGACCAUGGACUGUGUAUCAGCUCAUUGGGUAUCUCUUCCUCUUCAGUUACCUGUGGUAGCAGGUACCCAGACACUUUGCUACAGACUACAGCCCAACAUUGGGCAAUAUGCAACACUGAAAUUUUGAAAACCCCUACAAUCCAUUGUGUAUUGGAGAAAUUGCAGAAUGGCUUUCCCCUUGCUCACUUUUAGCAGGAUUUAUUACCACAUUAGUCCCAUUAUCAGACGUAUGUGCCAUUAAGGAAGGGGGAUACUUCCAUGUGCCAUGCUUUGUACACAUUCUUGAUGCAGUAGUUCACAUCCUCAUCUUUGUUCAGAAAAGAAUGAAGUGCUGGCCAUUGCAUGUCAAGUCUGCAGUUACUUCAGCUAUUCCUUUACAGCUGCUUAUACUUUCCAAGAACUGCAAAGGCAAAAUAGCCUUCCAUUGCACCAACUCAACCACUAUGGGCCAGACAAAUGGGAUUCCCCUCUCUGUGCUUGAGCAAUUACUGGGGCAAUACAAAACUAUUAGUGACUAUGUAGUGCUUCAGAAGUGUGAAGGAAGCAAUCUGUUUCUAACUCUUCCACAGUGGAGUUUUAAGAAAAACCUAUGUAGUAUGCGGAGACCUUUUGAUGAAGCGUUCAAAGGGUGAGCUAAAAAGAUGCUAGUUUUAGCCAAGUCAUUCUGCUCACGUGCCUCCUAGAGGGGGGGAAAAUGUGCCGCCUGCGAGAACAGUGUAGAGAAGUGGAUGAUAUUGCAGCAGUCUACUUGGUAAAUGGUAUAUUAGCCAUUCUGAAAGAAGACUUAUAUAAUUUAUAUUAGGGGAUCUGAGGAGUACAUUUUUGCUACAUUUUUUUUUUUAGAUCCAUGAUUUAAAGAUGCAUUAUCGAUCUUUCUCCCAUGGCGUGAGUCUAAUAUAGAAUACCACCAGACUGUUCUCAGAUACGGUUGCUAAAUGUAUUUCUACUAGAACGGUAAGAAAAUAAGCUCCUCUAGCAUCAGGGAUCAAAUAGAAGAAAGUUGGAGCAAAAUUGAAAGAUUUCAACCUUCAAAAGGUGAGAUCUUUUUGGGAACCCCAGUACCUCACAUGCAUCAUAUUCCAAAAUGUCACUCUGGGAUUUGCUCCUUGAUCUAGGUUUGAUGAAAGUAGCAGAAAAGGGUAUCAUGCCAGAAGAUCCUGCUAUCUCCAGGAAGAAUUAAAUGUAAAUCAUGGCAGUUUUUAAUGCACAAUGAGAAAAUUCAGUCACUUACAUGAUUUUAUAAAAUUACUGUUCAACAAGAUGCAAGACCUUUUAAAGUUCAGUUGCUUUGUAAAUGAAGCAUUAAAACAUUAUGUGCAUCAUGCAAAACUUUAUGUUGACAUCCUGUACCAAUAGUCAUUGGAUUUGAAUGUUGUCUGUUGCAAGCCAGUAAAUGAGAAGUUAAAGCUACAUUACUCAGUUUUAUUGUACUUUGGGCUUUGAUACAUGUGAGAAUAAACCACGUGCCUUUUCUCAGGUAGAUUUUUACCUUCAUCUAAAUUACAUCAUGGAGUGGAGGGAGAAAUGUUUUGCACUUUUCCUUCCCUCCCCCCUGGGAGGGGAAAAAAAAUUUGGAAUGGUGCUGCAUAAAUUCCUUGGUACCUCUUACGUUGUUUGCUUUUCUAGGAUGAGGCAGGAGCCUGCACCCCCUUCCUGAAGGGGCAUUCUACUCUUGUCUAUAAGUAGGCUAGGAAGGAUUUGACUGAUAAAUGUUGGCAAACAUUGAUUUCAUUGUACACUAUUUUUACGGAUAAUAAAAAUU